GUUGUGCGUACGCUUCAGAGAGGGUUUCUCACAUUUACAGAUUAGAUCAACUUGUUGCUCAUUAUUGAAACGGAGGAGUCGUGUAAAUGUCACUAAAAUGGGGCGUUCAGUGUUUGAUUGACCUGCUCGUGCAUCACUUUGAUACAUGAACUUUGUCCACACAGUGCCGUCAUCUGUCGCUCACAGCUCCAUGAACAGAACAUCAAACUUUUUUUUUCUGCACCCUGAAAGUUAAACUCUGAGCAUGAACAGCUGCAGCCGCUCGGCAAAGAACUGUCCAUCAGAAACGUCGUUUUUGGGGAAAUGCGUCUGUGUUUGUUCUCAUUUUCCAAGAGUGAUUUUAUUAUAUUAAAAAGAUGCGACGCCUGCGAGCUGCGGUGAAUUCACACCUGAUACUCAUCAUUCUCAACAAUCACCUGACAACACCUCCGUCCAGUUAGCCGUCUAUAUUACGUCUAUUUAAGAUCUCCGCUCUCUCCCUCUUUGCUCUUUUUCUUUUAAAAAACAUUUUUGGGCCUUUUUCCUUUAAUGUUUAGGACAGCUGAAGAGAGACAGGAAAAGCUGGGAGCAGAGAGAGUAAGCUCGAACGUGUUUUUUGGCAUUCCUGUUGAGAUGGAGAGUUUUUGCUGUGGAGGAGCUGCUGUAUCUGGUGCUCAGAGUCAGCAGUAGUUUCCUGCCUCUUCUUCCCUUCCUGCCCGUUUUAAAUGAGACAGCACAGAGUCAUUAUUUCCAGGUUCAGUUCUGGGUGUGACCUUCACUCACCUCUGGCGUGUACCGAGAGUCCGUCCUCGCUCAGGUUUUCCUCGUCGCCGGCGUAGGUCCGGAUCGGCGACCUGGCGUACGAGUGCUUGUGGAUCAGAUUCUCAACACUUUCCCUGCAGCAAAAGUCGAAGAGAGAGCCCCGAAAUAAAUCUCUUUUUUCAUGUUAGAGUUACAAACAAAUAAAAACAUUACACCAAAAAUAUGUAAACAAGAGCGUUUGCAACAAGCAGCGAGCGAACAUUUUAAACAGGAUAACUUUCUCUAACAGAACAGAGUUACCCCGCCGCCUGUGAACAGUCAGUUUUAUGUGUUUAUCAAAGGAAGCCUCACUGACAUCAUUUCUGAGAGACAAAAACGGACAGCGAGUCACAACUUCUCGUAAAUUAAAAAAAAAAAUAAAACCCAGUUCAGAUCAAAAACAAAUCAACUUUUCUGGUUAAAUAUUUUAGGAACUGCUGACAAAAAUUGUGAUCCCCGUGUCUUUGAACAGAGAAAUCUUUUUCUUUC